CCGAGUUAUUCUACUCCCAAACCCCUGUGAACUUAUACCUUUACUGUUGCUUCGGCGGGUUAACGCCCCGGAAGGCCCGCGAGGGCCGCCGGAACCAGGCGCCCGCCGGGGGACCCAAACUCUUGUAUCUUUUUUAUAGCAUGUCUGAGUGGAAUCAUAAACAAAUGAAUC
rnacentral:misc_RNA from 1 species